GACCGACAGGAAGAUGUAGUCGAGCAUGAACAGUCCAAUUUGCUCUUUAAUGCAGCUUUUACUCAAUUUUAAAUGUGAUUUAAUUUUAGGUUGAUAUGAAAAUGAGGGCAUUUAUGGACCACACACUUGCUAACUGAAGCUUCAUGGGGUCUGGACCAAGCCAGGAGGAAAAGUCAGAGAUGCCCUCAUCCUCAAAGCCCCAAAGUGAGUCCUCAGAUUUUGACUCUGUGUCACAUCCUCCUGCCAUUCUCAUCACUGCUCCAUCACAAGAUGACAUCUAUGCCUCCUCAUCUAACUUCACUAUAGCUGAUGCUGUAAAAGAGCGAAGGCCCCCCUCAGCAGCCAUUGUUGUUGGCAAAAAAUUCAUGAAGCGAAAGUGAUUAAAAGGCUUACCACUGGUGUCACUGA